rnacentral:rRNA from 1 species
UGUAGUUCCGGGCAAGCAUGCGGUGUAAUACGGGGGAUCCGGGUGUUAUCCGGAAUUAUUGGGUUUAAAGGGUGCGUAGGCGGCUGUGUAAGUCAGUGGUGAAAUUUCCUAGCUUAACUAGGACACUGCCAUUGAUACUGCAGAGCUUGAAUAAUAUGGAAGUAACUAGAAUAUGUAGUGUAGCGGUGAAAUGCUUAGAUAUUACAUGGAAUACCAAUUGCGAAGGCAGGUUACUACGUAUUUAUUGACGCUGAUGAACGAAAGCGUGGGGAGCGAACAGGAUUAGAUACCCUAGUAGUC